rnacentral:misc_RNA from 1 species
UUUUAUUCUACCUGACAUUCCCAACUAUCAUUCUUGUUCUUCUUUCUGCAUAUCAGACAGAUUCUUGUUAUUUAUUUAUUUUCACUUGUCAUUUCCACGUUUAAUAAGGGCAGUUUUUUGGGCCAAAUUAGCAAAUCUCUCGAACUUUUCAAUUUUCUUUCUAUGGGGUUUAACAAUACCAGUUCCAAUUCCUUAUGAGUUAAUUCUUCUGAACUAUUCUGAUUUCAAUUUGUCUUCUUUGCUAAGUAUUGUUUAAUUUACGUGCUUUUGUAGCGUUUUCUGAAAUCCCAUUUUAUAAUUUGUUGGGUAUAAUAAGCUAUACUUUUUAUGGGGUGAAUUUUCACUUGGAAUCUCGCAUUUAGAUGACUUGAAGAAAUCCCAUUUGUUACUUUCUUAAACAAUUUCAAUAUACCAAGCCUCUUUCCUUAAGCCAUUUGAAGGUUAACCAUUUUAUUAGUUUGCUUUGGAACCGUUUUAGAUGGCGGAUUCCAAAGCAAAUCCGGAUGUUACAGAAGAGACAUCGCCUGAUUUGCUGAAGAACACGCCGGGGAACAUUGCGAGAUUGGAGGAUGUGAUAGAGCAUUCCAAAGGCCGCCAGAAGUACCUGGCACAGACUAGGAGUCCCUCUGAUGGAAGCGAUGUUCGAUGGUAUUUCUGCAAGGUGCCUUUGGCUGAGAAUGAGUUAGCUGCCUCAAUUCCUCGCACGGAGAUAGUGGGAAAGAGUGAUUAUUUUCGUUUUGGCAUGAGAGAUUCUCUUGCAAUAGAGGCUUCUUUCUUGCAGAGAGAGGAAGAAUUACUCUCUAGUUGGUGGAAAGAAUAUGCAGAAUGUAGUGAAGGUCCUAGGAGUCGACCUUCAUCCAGUAAGAAGCUCGAUAUGCAAAAAACUGCACCCUCUAUAGAAAGUGCUAAGGCAACUCAAUUGUAUGAAGUGGAUGAAGAGAGAGUUGGUGUGGCUGUAAAAGGAGGACUUUAUGAGGUAGAUCUAGUGAAGAGACAUUGUUUUCCUGUUUAUUGGAAUGGAGAAAAUCGGCGUGUUUUAAGGGGUCAUUGGUUUGCUCGUAAAGGGGGCCUUGAUUGGCUGCCCAUUCGUGAAGAUGUUGCAGAACAAUUAGAGACUGCAUAUUGCAGCCAGGUUUGGCGUCGGAGAACAUUUCAACCAACAGGGCUUUUCGCAGCGCGUAUUGAUUUGCAAGGGUCUACUCCAGGACUUCAUGCACUUUUCACGGGAGAAGACAAUACAUGGGAAGCUUGGCUUAAUGUUGAUGCUUCUGGUUUUAAAAGUGUCAUUAGCUUAAGUGGAAGUGGAAUUAAGUUGAGGCGUGGUUUUUCAGCAUCUCACUCAGCAAAACCAACCCAGGAUGAGCUUCGACAACAGCAGGAGGAAGAAAUUGAUGAUUACUGUUCACAGGUUCCUGUUCGUCAUGUUGUUUUUAUGGUUCAUGGCAUUGGCCAGAGGUUGGAGAAAUCGAAUUUGGUUGAUGAUGUUGGUAACUUCCGCCAUAUCACGGCGGGUCUUGCUGAAAGACACCUUACUGCACACCAACGUGGUGCUCAGCGAGUUCUUUUCAUACCAUGCCAGUGGAGAAAGGGCUUGAAGCUUAGUGGUGAAAGUGCAGUUGAAAAGAUAACUUUGGAUGGUGUACGUGGUUUGCGUACCAUGCUGAGUGCAACUGUGCAUGACGUAUUAUAUUACAUGAGCCCCAUCUAUUGUCAAGAUAUUAUUAACUCGGUAUCAAACCAAUUAAACUGGUUAUAUUUGAAGUUUCUUAAGCGGAAUCCUGGUUAUGAUGGAAAGGUUUCUAUCUAUGGUCAUUCUUUGGGAAGUGUCCUGUCAUAUGACAUCCUCUGCCAUCAGAAGAAUCUAUCCUCACCAUUUCCCAUGGAUUGGAUGUACAAGGAACAUGCUAAGACUGAUCAAUCUUCUCUUGACAUGAAGAACCAAUCUUCUGUAGUUGUCUCUUCAUCCAAUCGGGAGGGUAAAAAAUCCAGUUUGCUUAAUGGAGCAAUGGAGAAAGUUGAUCCUGUUCAUGAAGAAAUGACAAGUGAACAAUCAACUUCAUUAUGUCCUGAUGGACAUUCAUCAAAAUUUUCCACUAGCAUGAAUCAACUGGUCGAUGAUAUAGUGCAACUGCCUGCAGUUUCUGUGGAUGCUAAACAAAGAAGUGAUGAGAAAAGUGACCAUGUAUUGGGUAAUGAUUCCAGCAGCAGUCUUUCUCAGGAAAGAGUUCAAUUAGUUGAAGCUUCUGGAGUGAAAUGUGAUGACCACAUUAAUAGUUUUGACAAAAUGUUAGCAGAAGACUGCAGUGAUACUACCAAUAAAGAUAAAGAAAUUAAAUUUCUGAGGGAAGAGAUUGAUACCCUGAAGGCUAAAAUAGUGGAAUUGGAAUCACAAUGUGGUGGUAAAGCUAUAAGUGGUGGGUUGCAUCAAGAAAAUACAGUGGACAUUGUAUCCACAACGAAGCAACCCAUAUCUGAGAAGCUGCCAUCUGGCUUAGAUGAUGCAUCAAAGAGUUAUACACCUUAUAUUAAGUACACAAAGCUUGAAUUCAAGGUUGACACUUUCUUUGCCGUUGGAUCACCUCUUGGAGUCUUCCUUGCGCUUCGUAACAUUCGCAUUGGAAUUGGCAAAGGUCACGAAUAUUGGGAGGAGGAAAAUAUUAAUGAAGAGAUGCCAGCUUGUCAGCAAAUGUUCAACAUUUUUCACCCAUUUGAUCCUGUUGCAUAUAGAACCACUUGUCUGUAAAGAAUACAUCAUAAAACGUCCCGUUAUUAUUCCUUACCACAAAGGUGGAAAAAGGUUGCAUAUUGGAUUUCAGGAAUUUGCGGAAGAUUUAGCUGCUCGUUCUCAGGCAAUGAUGGAUCACCUACAUUUUUUAAAGUCCAGGGUUUCAGAAAUGUCCAUCCCAUCAUGUAUUUGCUGGAUUGCAAAGGAAUUUGUCUUUUGGAGAUACAUGAUCCACCUAAAUAGGACUGUGAGUUUGAAAUCAUAGUUUUCCCAAUUGUAUUGAUGCGUAUUGGAUGUAUCAUCCAAUACAAAAAGAGAUACUCAGAGACAUUUCAGGUAUCAUUUGAAGAACAAUUAAAAAAAAAUCUACUAUAUUUUAUGUUGUUAAGUUGCUUGCUGACAAUAAGAAGGAAAAGAGCCAUAUGAUUUCAUGCAACCUAGCUUUUGGACUUCAAGAGGCUGUGUUCAUUGGACUUGCUCGAAAUUGUGCAUCUUAUUUUAGUUUUUCUUUUUGAUAUUAUUAAAGGGGUGCACCAAAAAUGCACAUACAUGUUUCAGGCCAUAUUGGACUGUACUUUGAAUUAAAAAAAGAAAAAAUUGAUAGAAUUAUCAAUUCCAAUAUGAAAAUGUGAAUUUAAUUAAAUACGCAAUAUAUUGAAACUAUUAAUAGCUAAAGAAAUUAUCAAUUGAGUACUAAUAAACCACUUACAUGAAGAAGUAUCUAUUUUAUUCAAUGUGUAUUCAAUUUAUUUAUAGAAAUAAUUUUGUUUUUAAAAUAAAAACAAAGAAAAAAGUUAUUGACAAAUAUUUAGCAAAAAAAUAUAAAUUAAACUUAAUUGAGCAUGACUUAUGGUUCAUAUAUAUGCCCGAUACUAUUUCUUGAAACCCUACUUCAGUUGAUGCUUGAGUUCAUGUUUCACGAGGAGUUGAGAUAACAAUACCUUUAUAUUUAGAGUUUGUGUUUGGUUUAUUUCCACACUCAAGAAAUUGAAAUGCUAAAUUAUUUUCUCUUUGAACAGGUUAAAGUGCUUACAGUGUGCCAAUCAAGAAGCAUGGAUGGCCUAGAAGAGGGAGUUGAAAAUGUUCAAGAAAAAGAAGAGAGGACGUAUGGUGCUUUAAUGAUGGAAAGAUUAACUGGAACUGAAGAAGGACGAAUAGAUCACAUGCUUCAAGAUAAGACAUUUGAACAUCCAUAUCUACAAGCUAUUGGAUCGCAUACAAACUACUGGAGGGAUUACGAUACUGCUCUGUUCAUUUUGAAACACUUGUAUAAGGAUAUACCAGAAGAUGCCAACUUACUU